rnacentral:rRNA from 1 species
CGGACGGGUGAGUAACACGUGGAUAACCUACCUAUAAGACUGGGAUAACUUCGGGAAACCGGAGCUAAUACCGGAUAAUAUAUUGAACCGCAUGGUUCAAUGGUGAAAGACGGUUUUGCUGUCACUUAUAGAUGGAUCCGCGCCGCAUUAGCUAGUUGGUAAGGUAACGGCUUACCAAGGCAACGAUGCGUAGCCGACCUGAGAGGGUGAUCGGCCACACUGGAACUGAGACACGGUCCAGACUCCUAGGGAGGCAGCAGCG